rnacentral:rRNA from 1 species
UGCGUAGGUGGUAUGGCAAGUCAGAAGUGAAAUCCAGGGGCUUAACCCUUGAACUGCAUUUGAAACUGUAUUUCUUGAGUGUCGGAGAGGUUGACGGAAUUCCUAGUGUAGCGGUGAAAUGCGUAGAUAUUAGGAGGAACACCAGCGGCGAAGGCGGUCAACUGGACGAUAACUGACGCUGAGGCGCGAAAGCGUGGGGAGCAAACA